UUCAGUAGCUCCUGGUGUGAGAGGCAGAAGUUGCAGGCAGAUACAGUUAUUGAGUAGUUUGGAUGUGAGAGCUAAACUUAGAAGACAGUAUUCACUGAGGUAUGCAUGCUGUUGGAGCAAGUGAGUGCAUCCAUUCCAGUGCUUCUAGUUCAGGAUGCAGACCUUAGUAACGUCCUGAAUUCUGCUCCAAAUAUAAAGACCGUGAAUGGAAAAGCUGAGAGUAGUGAUAGUGGCGCAGAAUCAGAAGAAGAAGGACUUCAUGAAGAGGAAGAAAAAGAACUACAGCAAAAUGUAAAGGAAUGUAAGAGUCUGAAAGCAGAAUCAUUAGCUGCUAAGGAUAUGGAAAAUAUUGUUGCUAAUGACUGUUACAAGGACAGCUUUAUCCCACAUGUGCAGAAUGGCAUCCAGACCAAAUCUGCCUUGAAUGGCUUGAAUGUGGAGGAAGAAAUACAGAAGACAGAGCCAAGCCUAGAAAUAGCUAAUAACUGUGCUCACCAAGGUGCAAAUGAGGAGAGCACUGAAGAGGUCUCAGGAACUCAGCACUUAACCAGUGAUUCAGACAGUGAAGUUUAUUGUGACUCGAUGGAGCAACUUGGACUAGAAGAGCCCUCGGAGAUCAUCACGUCAGCUAAAGGAUCUUUAAAGCGUUCAUCCCAUUUCUUGGAUGUAGAUCACCAUCCUCUAUUAGAAAAUACUGAUCUUCCAAGGCAUGCUUGCACAACUGCUGGGAAUCUGCAGCUUGGAAAUGCUGUAGAAGGAGCAGUUCAAGAAAAAGGUGAAGUCAAGUGUGGAGGAGAAGAUGGCAAAGCCAGUAAUGGGGCUCCUCACAAGGAGAAAAAGGAUGGAGAAAAAGCAGAUUUCUAUGGUGUCAGAAGAGGGAGAGGGCACAGACUUCAUCCUUUAGGAGACGGUUCGCAAGGUGGACAGAUGGGUAAUGGAGGGGAUGGAGAGCGCUGGGGAUCAGACAGAGGCCCGCGGGGCAGCCUCAGUGAGCAGAUCGCCGUAGUGCUGAUGCGGUUGCAAGAAGACAUGCAGAAUGUCCUGCAGAGGUUGCAUAUGCUGGAGGCAGUUACAGCAUCACAGGCAAGAUCUGCAACACUACAGUCAAAUUAUCCACCCGCCUCCUCUGUUAAGAAACCAUCAUGGUGGCCCUUUGAAAUUUCUCCUGGUGUUUUAGCUUUUGCUAUUGUAUGGCCAUUUAUUGCCCAGUGGCUGGUGCACGUAUAUCUUCAAAGAAAGCGAAGGAUCCCAGCAUGGCUGAGGCUGGCAGAGACCCCUGGGUCUGCCUGACCCAACCCCCUUCAAGCAAGGACACCCACAGCAGGGUGCCCAGGCCCACGUCCAGACUGCUUCUGAAGAUCUUCAGGGAGGACACUCCACUUCCUCUGGGCAGCCUGUGCCAGAGCUGUGUCACCCUGACAGCAAAAGGCUGUAUCCUGAUGUUGAAAGCUGAACUGAGAAUUCAUGAUGUUGUUUAAGACUGCUAGAAGAAGGUGGCCCUGGGAAGUGAAGGAAUUCUGAAUUCUUAAGAGAACCUCAGGAUUUGGGAUAAUGUUCCUUUCGUUAUAGUAAUAUUUGUUCUACCUUUGAGCUGAACAUUUAAGGACUAACAGCACUGAUACUUGAAUGAUUUGCUGCUCCUAGGUUACAAAUAAAAUCUAAUCAUUUCAUCCUUAAAUCCACAUGAACAUUAUUUUGGAACCUGGUUGUGGAUGGGCCUUUAGGAAUUACUAGUCUUGCUGAUGCCAGAUAACAGAGAAAAUAUCAUCUUUGUAAAAGAAAAAGCAAAAAAUAUGUAAAGCUGUCACUUUAAUAUAGAAAUAAGGUUACAGUGAAAAUAUCCCUACCUGUUUUUCCACGGGUUUAUGUACUAUGAGAUGAAAGCACUAAUGAAGUAUGAAUUAAUACCUUGUAAACUAUUGAAAAAGACAGUGUAGCUCUUAGGAAUUCAACUGGUUGUUUUUGCUGCUAAACUGGUGUGGGACAACUUUCCUUGUAAACUGUUCAGAAGUGAAGUGGGAAGCUUUGGUUAUCCUUCAGGUUCGUAAAUGAGAUAUUACAAGUGGUAAACAUCCUGAAAGUUAGAGCCCUUAGUAACAUAGGACUGUGAAAUAUGUAUUUGUAAGUAGGUGUGAUCCCUCCAAAGCAAGGGAUCCAUCUGAAAAGGCUGCACCUUAUAUUUUUAAUGUUGAUUGAUAGCUAUAUUCUUGUUGGCUACAGCUUGUUGUAAUUGAAACCCAUACUUGAGGCACAAGGUGCUUUUAAGAAGAAAGCAAGCUCGCUCUGUUAGUAUAUCUCUGAGAUUUGACAAAGCUCUGUGCAUUGCAAGUUUUCUUUUGUCAGUUUAUGUCAAAUUAAAAUAAGAGCUCCUAUCCCUCA